rnacentral:telomerase_RNA from 1 species
CUUCGCGUCGCCUUCCUCACAGUUUCCCGGUUCUCAUUUUCCGCAAGGAAUGUUCUACUGCAGUACCCCUCUCCAAGGCUCGUUUCCCACGGCAUACCGCUCCCGAGCCUGAAACAGAAUCUCGUUGUAUGCGGUAAAUGGACCUGCUGUGGUGAUUCGCCGUCGGUAACAAGACGGCACGACCUCGUCGAGGGAAUGAGUUUCGGAGCUUAACCCUACCCUAUCUCUGGUUCCAGUUUUGCGUCAAGUUGCUUACUUUGUCUUUUACGCCCAUGAUUGAUUUGACUGUCGCCAGCCGCUGAAAAGCGGGCAGGUAGAUUCUCGAGUCUUCAACAGGGUCGACUGAUGGAGGAAGCUGUCCAGUCACCGCAUGGUGCGCAAGAAGAACGGUGCCAUGGCUCCUAUGGCAAACCCAUUUGGAUGAAAAGCUUCGAGACUGAAGCGCCGUCGGCUGUAUCUGCUGGAACCGUGACCUUGGCCACACGUAAGGCUGCCUUCUCAGAUGCUGUCGAUACACCAGGGACAACAACAGGGACAUCUAGUGGCCGUGCCUGCUUUUUGGCGAUUCAUUAGUGCACACGGGUCGCUUUGAUGAGUUGAGUGAUGAACUGGUCACAUACUGCCAGUGUUUGCGUUUCAAUCAAAGAAUCGAAUUACAGAGCUGCCUCGUCGGAACCACUCACCUCAUGUCAGUGUUACGCGGAGCCUUUGGACACAAACAGAAACGCACGCCUGACGCAUCCUUUUCACCCGUUCUUCAAACGCUCACGGAUCUCACAAUCGAUUCCAGGCCGAUGCUUUGUCACUGCGUGCGAGAUUAUUAUCCAUAUAGACAUGCAUUGAGGGGCCAUGAUGGGGAUUUAUUUCCUCUGCAUGUGAUUUUUCCAUCGAGCCUGGCCAGACGCAUUAACUCUGCAUUGUGGCUGUCGGUCAUAAUGAAGUGAGACGGCCAGUCGUCCGUCAAGCGGUCUCAUGAUCCUGGGCAACUACCUCGUGACAUCCAAAGGGAAGGCACGGAGAUGAUAGCGUGGUUUUUAUGGAUGUCUUUUGUCCACGCGGGAAAAGCCCUCCUUACUUGCGCUCCAACGACGCAUGGUGGAGAGGACACAAAAACUAGUCCUUGUUGGCCGCGAAGCACAUACAGAAGGAAUUUCGGCUGUUGGCUACCAAGUUUCGACUUUCUGCAGCGUACUUUGACUCGGAUGCCAGGAUAUCUGCAAGUUAUGGCUUCCGAAUCAUAUGUUUGAGAUGGAGGCCGAGAAACCCCAGAUAUUCCAUCACUCUGGUUUGACUAGCGAGUUACUGGCAUAUGAGACAGCCCGGGACCCAUCUCGAGUUGGAGUCAAAGCUUUGUGCUUGUCCGGUGCCGUCGACGAUCCAGCGAUGGCCUUACAAAUCGGAAGGGAUGGGAUAAUGUGGCAAUUGCAGGCCGAACGAUUGGUUUCGAAGGGCAGACCGGUUGGGGAUAGGUAGCCCUGGUUGUCCUUGCGCCUGCAAUGGUGGGAGGACAACCCCCC